GAUGAAGAACGCAGCGAAAUGCGAUAAGUAAUGUGAAUUGCAGAAUUCAGUGAAUCAUCGAGUCUUUGAACGCACAUUGCGCCCCCUGGUAUUCCGGGGGGCAUGCCUGUCCGAGCGUCAUUGCUGCCCUCAAGCACGGCUUGUGUGUUGGGCCCCGUCCUCCGAUUCCGGGGGACGGGCCCGAAAGGCAGCGGCGGCACCGCGUCCGGUCCUCGAGCGUAUGGGGCUUUGUCACCCGCUCUGUAGGCCCGGCCGGCGCUUGCCGAUCAACCCAAAUUUUUAUCCAGGUUGACCUCGGAUCAGGUAGGGAUACCCGCUGAACUUAAGCAUAUCAAUAAGCGGAGGA
rnacentral:misc_RNA from 1 species